AAGCCCCCCAGAGUCUCUCUGCUGCCGCCGCAAGCGCCGCUGGCCCGGGGACCACAGAUUGGAAGCAGGCAGUCACUGGUCGUGGACAGGAAGACUCUCUCCGGCCAUCUCAGGUGUUCCUGUAUAAAACUGUGCCAACGAGUUUGCUGUCAUGUGCCUGUGGUCGCCUCAACAAAGUAGAACUUCCUUACUGGCUCUGGAGGCCAGUCUACAGCCUGUAUAUCUGGACCUUUGGGGUGAACAUGACUGAGGCUGCAGUGGAGGACCUGCACCACUACCGCAACCUCAGCGAGUUUUUCCGGCGUAAGCUGAAGCCUCAGGCACAGCCUGUCUGAGAUUUGUACUGUGUGACCAGCCCAUCAGAUGGCAAGAUCCUCACCUUUGGGCAGGUGAAGAACUCUGAGGUGGAGCAGGUAAAGGGCGAAACCUACUCCUUGGAGUCCUUCCUGGGCCCUCGAACCAGUACAGAAGACCUGCCCUUCCCUCCAGCUUCUUCCAGUGACUCCUUCAGAAACCAGCUGGUCCCCCAAGAAGGGAAUGCGCUCUACCACUGUGUCGUCUACCUGGCCCCAGGAGACUACCACUGCUUCCACUCCCCCACUGACUGGACCGUCUCACAUCGGCGCCACUUCCCAGGUUCCCUGAUGUCAGUGAACCCUGGCAUGGCCCGAUGGAUCAAAGAGCUCUUUUGUCACAAUGAGCAUGUAGUCCUAACUGGAGACUGGAAAAAUGGGUUCUUCUCGUUGACAGCAGUGGGAGCCACCAAUGUGGGCUCUAUCCAUAUCCACUUUAACUGAGUGAGCAAAGCCCACAGGCUAAACCUCUUGGGUCCAACCACUUCAUUUACUGUACAGCCUUACCUUUGGGCUUAUAAAUUUUGUAGUGCAGGAGGGAUGAUCUAGCUCUGACCAGGCUGGACUCUACAGACAUCCAUACCAGCCCAGCCUCCCUCUCCCUGUUGCCCAAUCUGUGGCCAUUCACCUGCCUGAACCAAUCCCACAUCUUAACACACGGCUUCUGCCAGGAUCCCUGAUCAGAAGCAAGGAUGGAGCCUGCAGGAGGGUAGAGUUGGCUUGGGUGAGAAAAUCUGGUACCCACUCUGCCUUUUUAGGUUUUAAUGGCUGCUGCUGGCACUAGCCUUUCAGCAUUUAUGUCUAACCCCUGCCCCUCCUUGUCAAAGUCACAGCUGAUACUGGGAGUGUUGAUUAGUUAGGCCUUUGUCUCUGCCACCUGGGCUGGGCAGAGUUGAGGACAGGCUCAACCUUCUUGUUCCUAGGACUUGCACACAAACAGCCCCAGGUACAGCAAGGUACUACAAUGACCUGAGCUUUGUAACAAGGAGGGCAUUCCCAUGCACAAGGGUGAGCCCCUGGGCGAGUUCAACCUGAGCUCCACAUCAUGCUCAUCUUCGAGGCACCCAAGGACUUCAACUUGAGGCUGAAGGCAGAACAGAAGAUCUGCUUUGCAGGAGCACUGGGCUCCCUCUAGUCCUCUCGGUUGUGGCUGCCAAAGGAUCUUUCCACACAGGAGCAUGAGGGUCUUUAGCGGAGCCCCAGGAUGUCUAGGUGAGGGGCACUGUGGGGCUGACCUUAUAAGACCUGAAUGAUGUGUUCCUGCCUGUCCAUGGGUGCAGAGGAGAGGUUCUGGGUCUCUCAGGACCUAGGCCCCUUUUCUGAGUAUGGGUGGGUGUGAUUUGACCCCAAAGUCACUUUAAGGGGUGUUUUAAAUUUUUGUACAAGCCAGAGCCUCCCACCCCUAACUCCUGGCUGUGUACUACCACACCCUCUAGCUGCGCCCCGACCCGUCACAGGGCUCUCUCACUGUGCACAGGGUGACGUGCCUGCUGGGCAGAGACUGUGGAUCCACUGUCUUCCUAGAGCAGGCCACAUGGCCUUCAUAACUGCUUUCUGCUCCCAAAUUUCACCUAUCUGCAUGCUGGAAAAGUAAAAUCAUUUAUAUAUUGCUGGA
rnacentral:lncRNA from 1 species